GAACAGUGAUGAACACCUUUUUAUCCCGAAUCUGAGUCUUUUGAUGAGACAAAUUCACGGAUCUGACUACUGAGUU
ensembl:snoRNA